GAUGAAGAACGCAGCGAAAUGCGAUAAGUAAUGUGAAUUGCAGAAUUCAGUGAAUCAUCGAAUCUUUGAACGCACAUUGCGCCCGCCAGUAUUCUGGCGGGCAUGCCUGUUCGAGCGUCAUUUCAACCAUCAAGCCCCCGGGCUUGUGUUGGACCUGCGGCUGCCGCAGGCCCUGAAAAGCAGUGGCGGGCUCGCUGUCACACCGAGCGUAGUAGCAUACAUCUCGCUCUGGGCGUGCUGCGGGUUCCGGCCGUUAAACUACCCUUUUAACCCAAGGUUGACCUCGGAUCAGGUAGGAAGACCCGCUGAACUUAAGCAUAUCAAUAAGCGGAGGA
rnacentral:misc_RNA from 1 species